rnacentral:rRNA from 1 species
UACGUAGGUGGCAAGCGUUGUCCGGAAUUAUUGGGCGUAAAGCGCGCGCAGGCGGUCCUUUAAGUCUGAUGUGAAAGCCCACGGCUCAACCGUGGAGGGUCAUUGGAAACUGGGGGACUUGAGUGCAGAAGAGGAAAGCGGAAUUCCACGUGUAGCGGUGAAAUGCGUAGAGAUGUGGAGGAACACCAGUGGCGAAGGCGGCUUUCUGGUCUGAUAACUGACGCUGAGGCGCGAAAGCGUGGGGAGCAAACAGG